UAUGAGUUUGAUUGAUCUGAUUGUUGCUGCUUUAUUAAACAAAUGGGAAGUGAGAUGGAUUAAUAAGUAUGCAACUAAGUUUGAUGUGAAAAAAGGCAGCAGGCGCAGGUGGACCAUGAGCUUUAAUCAUUUAUCUCUUUACAGAUGUAAAAUGAAUCCAACGCUUCUGAUUCAUCAACCAGUUUUUGAUGGGGCAUUGGGCCCUCCAAUUUCCUAAAUCUUCAUUUCCAACCCAAUUGUUGAGGCUUGCAGAUCUUCUUCACAAACCCUUUGCUUUUAUGGUAUUAUCUUCCAACAAGUCAGUUGAAUCAUUUCUAAAUAAAAAAAAGUGAGUUGAAUUACUAGGUGGUGUGCUGCCAUCCACUGAUUGGUGGCUUUCAUGUGUUUCUUGCAAGUAGUGUCCUCCUUUAUUUGAUGAAUGCAGUUACUAAUAUCACUUGGAAUUGGAGCUAUCAAACUUGUCUGUUGCUUUUGGAAACAAGUGCACACUUUUCGCUGUACUGUACCUCCCUCAUUCACCCACUCAACUUUCAAUCUCAAUUAUGGUGAGAUGGCAGGUUUACACUGUACAUACUGCUUUUAUACGUCAUCAUCACCAUGUCUCUGAUCAAAACAAAGGAUCCAGUUGAGUUUUCUAUUGCACUAACUACGUUAAUUACGUAAUUUUCCACUGAGGAAAGGAACAUAUUAGCUCAAAGUCGUUAACUUUUUUGUGUGAUGAUUGAUUGGCCAUGCCCAUGUUCUUUCUUUGUUCCGUAGUUUGUGUCGGCCACAAAGAUUGUAAAAAGGUGGCUGUCUGUCUUCCAGAACCUGGAAAGAACACGAAGAAGCACAUGUAACGGGGAAAAAGGCAAAGGAGAAUUCAGUCAUAAAAAUCAGGUGUUUGCUUUUUUUUCUCUUUGUUAGAAGGAUCUGGACUUAUAAAGAGAAGGUAAUCAAUGUCCCCUCGAGCCCAGAAGAUGAUAAACACAGCGUCAUGCUCACGAUCAUGCAUCCAAGUUAUUAUAUAUUUUUAGCACACAAAUCUCCA